rnacentral:tRNA from 1 species
AAUUUUAUAUUCUAAAAAGGAUUUUGAAUUGCAAGUUCAGGGGUAAAAUAUUUCAUUUUUAAAAUUU